AAGCUGGUCUGUUUUAUGUUCAGUGUCACAGCCUUAUCCCUUUCACGUCCCUUACCCAUUUCAGUACCUCCUGCUGGAAAUCAGAGGAAGUUAUUGGCCAGAGAGUAGCUAGCACCUCAGAGGUACAAACACCUUGGGAUUGGAGGCUGUUCGUAACGCUGACAUGUUCAUAACCCUGCACAAAAAGUGACGGCUGUUCUUUCAAACGGAAAACAAAAACGUGUUCUUUCUGGAAUUAGUCUAUGGACCCCUGGGACUGUUUUUGGUUUCCUGUUACAGUUCCUGGAGGGUUCUUAAUCCUCCCAGGUUGUUACAGCCUGGGAACAGACUAAACAAGCCCAGUUCUCUCAGCCUCUCCUCGUAAGUCCAGCCCCCGAUCAUCUGAUCAAGAAGGCGAUCCUUCCCAAUAGUACUCACCGUCAUCAGAUAAGGAAACAGAUCUUAAGAUGUUUAGAGAAAACUUUGACAGCAUUCUGUCUGGCAAGAAACCACUGAUCAAUGGCUGUGGAUCGGUGAUAAAAAUACUGAGACGCGUGAGGCCUAGAAACAACCCAUGAGGAGUGUGACGGGUUGGACCCUUGGGAAGCCACCUGAAGUGCGAAGAUAUCACUGAGUCUACCUGUGCUGCCAGCCUGGGCCCCCUUUAACCUGUCUUGCUGAGCCAGGCCCUGAAAACCUCCCCUAACACACACAGGCAGGGCCACACCCAGCUACAGAUCAGCUCUGGGAAGACUCCGCUUAAGGGACUUGCUCCAGCCCUCGGAUGUCCACCUCCCUUGGAGUGCAGACCCAAAGGUAUAGUAUGAAAUUCGCCCCCUCCCUCAGCGUGGAGCGUGCACGCUUCUUACCCUCCCCCGUUAGACAUGACAGAAACGGGGUGGACACCCGCUCCUGCCCUGAAAGGCUUGAAAUCAGCCCUGAAAGAGGGCGGCAGUGGUGAAAGGUGGGCUGGUUGGGGAAGUGGCCGCAGCUGGGCCACACCCCAUCAGGCCACAGCUGGCCUGUAUAAAAAGGCUGGGAGCCAGGCACUCAGUAGCCUCUCUCUGUGUUCAGAGAGAGAAGGGCCUGGCUGCAGGGAGCGUAACCAGGUAUCUGGAGUGGAGCAGAGUUGGGGAAAGGCUAAGGGAGCUCCGGCCUAGGAAAGCUCCAGGCUGCAGGUCUAGGGUAAGGCCAAAGGGGCACUUGGAUUGCAGGGGGCAGCCCACGGGUAGGCAGAGGCAGCAAGGCCAAACCCCUUUGCCUGUGAUGAAUGGCUGAUACUGCAGUCUGCCCCUAGUGAACGGGGGCUAGAUGGAGACUGGGCAGUAGCCAAGACUGAGGCAAAGUGGGGAUAGUGGAUGGAGGUUCCCCUGGGAGGGGGAGACCCAGAGCUGUGAGGGGUUAUUGCCAGAGAGCAACACCCCAGACAACAGGGGUCUGGGAGGGACAUGGGGGGCCAAGUGGUAGCGGGACACUGGCCUGCAGAGGGUGCUCCAAUGGCUGGAGAGCUAAUUCCUGGAGAUGACCAGCAGGUGAGCCCCGCAUUGUCAGACUGGGUUUAAUAAUAAACCAAAAAAAUGUAUUCACUAUAAAAGGCAGAUUUUAAGUGGUCGAAGGGGUAACAAACAGAAUAAAGCAGAUUACUAAACAAAUGAAAUCAAACACGCAAACUAAGCUGGUUUCACUCAAGAAGUUGCUUACAAAUUUUAUUUCUCACCCUAGAUAUUGCUGUAGGCAGUUUGCCAAGCUUCUGUGGUUCAGAGUUCCAGUUAUAUUCCUUUUCAGACUGGCCCCGUCUCAGUCUGGACUCCCCCCUGGCUUUCCCUUUUGCAGUCUUUCUUCUUGGGCAGACAGGCCAGGGAGAGGAGGAAUCCAGUUUGCCUUCCUCCCCACCCUUAAAUAGGAUUUACAUAAGGCGGGAAUCCUUUGUUUCCCAAACUUGACGGCCCCCACCCCUUCCCUUACAGUGGAAAGUUACAAGAAGUCCCUGCUAAUGUUUUAGUAUCGGGUGACAAGACCACCUGCCCCUGUAGUAUCAGAGUCCAUGAGGCAGUGGUAGUGUGGAGAGUCUGCAGGAAGGCCAAGCUUGUCACAGUCCAUUGUCCUCGCUGAUGGGCCAUCCGCCCUGCCUGGCUUUUCCAUUGCUGUACCUGAAGUGUGAGCAGUGGGCGUCACCCGAAGUAGCGUAGUUGAAAUACAGAUACAGUCAGUAUUCCUCACUUCAGAUACAGAAAUGAUACAGGCAUACAAACUGGAUCAUCGCAUUCGGUAAAUCAUAACCUUUCCAAGGAGAUCUCACAUGAGCCAUCUGGCAUAAAGUACAUCUCAGUUAGGUCCUAUUCAUAUCAUAAGCAUAUUGUCAUAAAAAAUAUGGAAUGAUAUGGCAGUCAGGCCUAGGAACAACCCAUGAGGAGCCCCCUGGAAACACCCCCAUUCAGUGACAGAUUCCCCACUGAGAUCUGUCAGCUAGUCCGUUCUUGAUUUAUUUAACGUGCACUUUACUGAUGUUGUAUGGAGCUGCUUUUUUAAUCAGAAUGUCAUGCAGUUACCAAGUCAAACGCCUUACAAAAGUCUAAGUCUAUUACCCCCACACAGUUAACUUUAUCAAGUAAUUUGUAAUCUCCUCAAAGAAUUAAAUCAGGGUUGUUUGACAAGACCUAUUUGCCCUGUGUGACGAAGUGGGGGAUUUUCUUGUUUUCGGUGGGGUUUCAAUGGUUUGCACGCGGAGGGGGUUUCCCUGGGUGUUACUGGUUUAACGAGGGGAGGGGAGAGGGAGUUUGUUGUUACAGAGGACCGGAGAGGGAACGUGGGACCCCAGCCAGUGGCCUGGAGGAUGGACACCCCAGCGACUGGACCCGGAGACCCAGCUCAGGAAUCACAGACGGUUCUGGCCAGAGGGAGGACAAUGGCCUGCAGAGUGAGGAGCCAGUGACCUAACCAGCCAGUUUCAGCCAGAGGACAGAAGAGGGGAGAGGAGGCCCCAGUUUACAACCCUGUUUACCUGGAGAGAAGACAAAGGACAAAGGCGGGGCUUGGGGC